rnacentral:lncRNA from 1 species
GCGAUAUUUAUGUAUUUAUAUUGUCUUUGUCUAUUCAAUAUGAAACUGUUUUAUGAAUUUUGGUCAUUUGUUAUAUGAGCAAAUACAUUGCUUGGCAAAUCGUCAUCACUGUCAUAUUUUAGGUUUCAUAUACCUGUCACUAAUUGAAUUUAUUGUUUCGUUGUAUUGUCAGUAUGCUGUCAGAAGUCCUGGAGCGAAAGCACAGGCCGAACCCUCUCUACCAGUAACGUAAACGGCUGAGCUAGCGGGGUAUAAUGUCAUGAGACAGAUUAUGAAUGAAAAAUACGUUUACACACGAAAACCCAUUUACGUUGCAAUAUGACAUUUAUAAU